CUCAUGGAGAGUUCGAUCCUGGUUCAGGAUAAAAGUUGUCGGCAUGCCUUACACAUGCAAGUCGGAUGGGAAGUGGUGUUUCCAGUGGUGGACGGGUGAGUAACGCAUAAGAACCUACUCUUGGGAGGGGAAUAACAACUAGAAACGAGUGAUUAACGCGUAAGAACCUACCCAUGGGAGGGGAAUAACAACUGGAUUUGGCUGCUAAUACCCUGUAAGCUGAGGAGCAAAAGGAGGAAUCCGCCCAAAGAGGGGCUCGUGUCUGAUUAGCUAGUUGGUGAGAUAAAAGCCGACCAAGGUGAUGAUCAGUAGCUGGUCCGAGAGAAUGAUUAGCCAUAAUGGGAUUGAGACACGCCCAAACUCCUAUAGACGGCAACAGUGGAGAAUUUCCCGCAAUGGAUAAAAGCCUGAUAAAGCAAUGUCGCAUGAAGGUAGAAGGUAUAGGUGUCAGGAACUUCUUUUCCCGGAGAAGAAGCAAUGAUGAUAUCAAGGAAUAUGCAUUGGCUAGGUAAGAAAGAGGAUGUAAGAAUGAUUGAGCUAGGUAAGACUGAGGAUACAAGUGGAAUGAUUGGGCGAAAACCGUUUAUAGGGGCAAUUUGUUUUGUUUUUUAGUAUGACAACUGUUUUUCUUAACUGUGUUAACGGGUAACUUUCUUA
rfam:Vigna angularis cultivar Jingnong 6 chromosome 1, whole genome shotgun sequence.